rnacentral:rRNA from 1 species
AACGAACGCUGGCGGCAUGCCUAACACAUGCAAGUCGAACGAAGGCUUCGGCCUUAGUGGCGCACGGGUGCGUAAAGCGGGGGAAUCUGCCCUUUGGUUCGGAAUAACAGCUGGGGACGGCUGCUAAUACCGGGGGAUGACGAAAGUCCAAAGAUUUAUCGCCAGAGGAUGAGCCCGCGUUGGUUUGGGUAGUGGGUGGGGGAAAGGCCUGCCAAGCCGACGAUCCAUAGCUGGUCGGAGAGGAUGCUCAGCCGGACUGGGACUGAGACGCGGCCCCGACUGGGAGGCGAGGGAGGAGAGGGGAAUAUAGGACAAUGAGCGCAAGGCUGAUCCAGCAAUGCGGGGUGAGUGAUGAAGGGGUUAGGAUUGUAAAGCUCUUUGACCCGAGAAGUUAGUGACGGUACCGGGAGAAGAAGCACCGGCUAACUCCGUG